UUAAGGUAAGUUAGGAAUGGUGCAGUAUUCUAGUCAGUCCUCCGUCCCUGAAGGCGGGCCUAAAAAUCCGCCAAAGGGCAUAUCGAUGAAGUUCCUUGUGCCGGCUUGAGGCGCCCAGCCUUGGGUCGGUGCUGGGAGUUAAGGUUGUGGGGCGAUCCACAAAGGCAUGUGGGCGUUGACCCCGCUUCCGCGGAGGCCCAUCUUUGUAAGGAAAGCUGAGCCAGCUUUCUUUAUGAAAUGGGGUAUGAACCUGUUUCAUAUGGAGUAAUAUCUGUAUGUACAGCGUAGCCUGCCUUGAGUGGCUUCGAGGGGAUUACAGUAUUUCAGGAACCAUGUCUAAUAUGGCCAAUGAAACAUGAUUUCGUUCUUUGCUGUAUGAAAUCGAAGCUGCAAAAGAGGCUAAGGAACGGUCAAAGACUGCCGGAGAAACUCCCUAGACUGUUCGUAAGGACGGAAAACAGUUAUUAUAGUGUGGACUGAGUGGUAAUCCAGUCCGAGUAACGGAGACGUGCUCGACCAGGCUUUAAAGGGGAACCGCCAGAGUGGUGACACUCGGUAGCCUGGUGGGAAAACCUACUGGACCUAAGCCGCAAUUUUUACCUGUUUUUCGACCAUUCCUUCCUACAUAACU
rnacentral:sRNA from 1 species